rnacentral:rRNA from 1 species
UGGGGAAUUUUGGACAAUGGGCGAAAGCCUGAUCCAGCAAUGCCGCGUGUGUGAAGAAGGCCUUCGGGUUGUAAAGCACUUUUGUCCGGAAAGAAAUCCUUGGCUCUAAUACAGUCGGGGGAUGACGGUACCGGAAGAAUAAGCACCGGCUAACUACGUGCCAGCAGCCGCGGUAAUACGUAGGGUGCAAGCGUUAAUCGGAAUUACUGGGCGUAAAGCGUGCGCAGGCGGUUUGCUAAGACCGAUGUGAAAUCCCCGGGCUCAACCUGGGAACUGCAUUGGUGACUGGCAGGCUAGAGUAUGGCAGAGGGGGGUAGAAUUCCACGUGUAGCAGUGAAAUGCGUAGAGAUGUGGAGGAAUACCGAUGGCGAAGGCAGCCCCCUGGGCCAAUACUGACGCUCAUGCACGAAAGCGUGGGGAGCAAACAGGAUUAGAUACCCUGGUAGUCCACGCCCUAAACGAUGUCAACUAGUUGUUGGGGAUUCAUUUCCUUAGUAACGUAGCUAACGCGUGAAGUUGACCGCCUGGGGAGUACGGCCGCAAGGUUAAAACUUAAAGGAAUUGACGGGGUCAUAGCUGUUUCCU